GAAAAUAUAGUAAUGGAAACUACAUCUACAUGAGAAUUUCAGCUAACACCUUGUUCAAUUGAAAUUUCAUACUCAUUUGUAGCCUGAUUUUAACUAAAGCUCAAUUUAAUCAUGCAAAAACUGAAAUGAAUUAUAUUCACACAGUCCACUACUUGAGGGUAACAGUUCGAAACUCAGUUACCACACAAGCAAUGCAUAUCACAGAUUUUGAAUUAGUUCCUAGCUCAAAUUAUUUCCUGGUGCCGAACAUUUAAACAACAAACUAAACUAAUCACAGUUCAAACCCUUGCAGACUAACAGUACAUGGUAAUUUAACACAAUCCUAGUUUAAAUCAGUAUCCAAACAUGGAAAUUGAUCCUAAUUAGACAGCUUCUCUUCAUUAGAGUUUGAACGAACUAAAACUACAAGAAUACAAAAUUGUUUGUUUAGCACUGAAUACAUGAACAUAGAUCUGAACAUCCAUUCAUUUGAAUCCAAUUUCUGAUAUGGAAAUAGAAAUAGAGUAGAAGAGGUCAGUCACAGUAACAGUUUCGAGCAACAACAAUAGUAUUCAAUUCCCAGCAAUAGCGCAAUGAACAAGUCCAAGUAAUAAACCCAGAAAUCCGAAAAUGUUUAAAACCAGGCAGAAAUAACAACACUGACUCAACAACAGCCUGAAUAACCCAAAACCACUUGAAAAACCAACCAGGGAACUUCUAAAACCCUCUCAACCAGAAAUCAAACUUGACAUGCAAAUCAACAACUGGAAUUCUAACUUUGAUCUCAAGAGCACUAAUGCAAUAGUAGAUUUCCUAUUUUUGUUUUGUAUUUUUCUUUUUUUGUAUUUUCUGAGAGAACUAAGAGCUGAAAGAUUUUAUGACUUGAAAUCUCAACUAGGGGAGUGUUUUUUGGGAAUUUUUAUGGCUGAAUGGAAGCCCCUCAACAAGGUAUUUGUGAUGCCUUUUAUUGGCAACAAAGAAGUAACCGCAGAAUUUCAGUUUUUCUUUUAGUCCCUGUGCAUUUUCAAUUUAGUCCCUCAUUCUUGAGAUUUGUUAGACAAGUUAGUACCCUAAGUUUAUUAAAAUCUGACUUAUGUCCUAUGAAAGAAAGAUCUAGGAAAUCCUAAUUAUUUCUGCAGCAUUCCUAAAACAAAACCUAUUCAACUAAUUAAUAACAUAAUAGAACUAAUUAUUGAGUAACUACUGAAUUACUGUUUUCAAACACAUACUCUCAUACUGAAAAUUUAAUCAAUCCUAAAAUAAUUACAUCAUAGAUGAAUUGAAUCUAAUUUUAAACUAAUCAUUCAAAAUAAUCAGAGUUAACCCAUACUUAAAGUUAAAUUAAGAAAACUCAUACUUUAACUAACUCUUAUAGAUUUAAACUAACCAAACAAAACCGAAACUUACAUAAAUCCAUUAACUAAACUUUGAUCAAUUGUGCUAACAGAAGCAAGAAGAAAAAGAACUGCAUCAGAAUUGACCUAACUAAAAUUAGAAAUACCAUAGAAACAGAGAAGACUAAUUAAACCAGACCCACGACACCUAAUUAAUUAAAAGAAAUACUAAGAAAACUAAAGGGGCUCACCAGCCGUUUAUUUUCAAAUUCCAGCCUCGGAUGAAUCUAGUGGGAUUUGCAUACAAUGACUGGAAUUCUUCAUGGGGAAGGUCCCAGGAUCAUGUGGUAUCAAUUUGGAGAGGCUUGGGACAACUAGGAUUUUGGACGGAAAACCUUCAAUUUGAUAUUCGAGGAAUUUCAGUCAUAUUCGAAGGGUGUGGUUUUGGGGAUUCGACAGAGGAAGCCAAGACGUUCUUGGGGUGUUAUUUUGGUGUGAUUUGGACGGAGUUGUGUCAUGACCAAAAGGUUUUGAACGGAUAUUCGACGAGUUCCAGUAAGAUUUGAAAGAAAAGGACAAUGGAUUCAUAUAGAGGAGGAGAAGGGGAAUCUAGGGUACAUUUUUUGGAGGCAACGGAAAUGGUGGCGUCCGCCGGCAGCUAUAUCUAAAUGUAACAAUCAAUUGUGG
rnacentral:lncRNA from 1 species